AUUCAAAGAUGGCGGACGGUUGCGCUAGAAAGAGGACUUAAAAAUGGACUGACGAGGAUGAGGAAAAUCUGAUCCAUCUGUGGAUGGAGAAAGAUAGCCUGUUUGUUAUCAGGCAAGCUCGUGCCGGAUGGGAGUAAGAGACACUACUGCAGCACGAAGGGACAAAGAGUGACAGGAAAGUCUGUUAAGCUUACCUGAGUUUAAAAUAUUGUUCACAAAAUGUAACAUCGUCGUUGUUUUUGCAAUUUGUUUAAUAAAUGCAGGAACAAAAAUGAAUUAUUUACAUUUAUUAUUUAAAUCUGAGCCAUUUUUAACAAUCUCAAAAGUAUUUUCAUAUAAAUAUCAAAUGUACAUAUUUACAUUUACGUUUUAUAUGUUAACAUUUAUUUUUAUACAUCAUAACAAUAAUCCUGGUCUUCUAGAGUCAUGUGUGUCACAGUUGGAGCUGAAAGGAAAGCAGAGAUCUGUCCUCGCAGACGGCCGCCACUUUACCCGUCCUACUGGUUCCUGCUGUGGCUCAACAUCUGUGGUUCCAAGCAGUCCCCUUCUCUGAUGCACAGAUUGUGCAGAACUGAACUGCAGGCAAUGAUUUUCAUUGCAAAGAGCGUGCCUUGGCGUGGUGCUGGUUGUAACGGGCCUGAACCGCAUUCCUCAUGGGUUCCCUGUAGGGUGUCAGCAGCGUGAUGGGAUGAGCAAUGCAGGGAUACCCACCAUCACCCAAAAGGAUCAUUCAGGGUCUUUAUACUUCAGUGGCAGCCAUCGAUGUUCCCCACGACCUUUUGGAAGGUGGAAGACCAAGCGAGCUGCUAUAAAACCAGAGGUGACUAAUGACAGUUCAUUCCCACUGGAUGCUGGGUGA